rnacentral:lncRNA from 1 species
CACCUGUGACAUAUGGAAAUUCCCACACUAGGGGUAGAAAUGUAGCUGCAGCUGCAAGCCUAAACCACAGCCACAACAGCAAGGAAUCUGAGCAAAACAAUGGCUUACAAUGCAGUGCCCUAUAAUGCAGCUUGCAGCAAUGCUGGAUCCUUAAACCAAUGAAGGAGGCCAGGGAUAUUAGUUGGGUUUGUAAAUUGCUGAGCCAAGAAGGGAACUCCAAAAGAACACAAAUUCAUAAUGAAGCUGUGCAAUUUUUGAAAAAAUAUGGACAUGUAAGACUGAUGUAUGGUAUUAAUUAGGAAACAUGGGUAAAACCCUUAGCCUAUGCUUCAAAAAAUUAUUCACCAUUAUGAAUGAUAGUUUGUGGACUAGUUUAGCAUCAAGCAGAUUUACUUAAUAUGGUUUUGAAAUAUGGUUUGCAGGGUCUGUUUUGAUCAGUCAGUAGAACAUCCAGACUUUUAAUAUGAGGGUCCAAAGUUCAAGUUCCUGUCCAGGUGCUGUGUGAAAUAUAGUUCACAAACAAUAUUAUGUUAGUUUCAAGUGUAUGAUGUGGUGAGUUGACAUUUUCAUACAUUAUUAAUUAUUAAUCUAGUAAUGAUCUAUCCCCAUAAGCUUUUAUAGUAUUUUGGGUCAUAUUAUUUAUGCUGUGUAUUAAAUCCCAAGAUCCACCCAUGUUGUUGGAACAUGGCUGUGAACAGUGUGAUGCACUUGAAUAUCUCCCUUAUGGCCAUGUUGUUGCCAAUGAAAGUGGCAAAAAUUUUUGUCACCAUAAUGGGAUGGCACAGAUAGUUGUUUUCAUUGAUGGGGAUUCACUUUCAUUCUCUCAAGUGUGGAUAUCCAGUUUCCCAACACCAUUUAUUGUGUGGUUUUGGGUCUCUUGUCAAAGGUCAGUUGAGCAUAUAUGUGUGGGUUUACUUCCGGGCUCCAUAUUCUGUUCCACUUUUUAUAUGUCUCUUUUUAUGUCAGUAACAUACUGUGUUGAUUUCUAAAGGAUUGAAGUAUAGUUUGCAAUCAGGAAAUGUGAUGCCUAAGGGUUUGUCAAUUUUUAUCAAGAUGGCUUUGGCUCUUGUGGGUCUUUUGUGGUUUCAUGUGGAUGGAAUAAAUGAUGGUGAUGGGAUGUGAGCUGCAACACACUUCAGGCUGAGUGGUGUGGGAUCUCAAGUGCUGAUCCUACUCUGUUUGGUCCUUUCUGCAGUGGAUGGAGUGGCAGAUUUCAUUGUGGGUUUUGAAAGUUCAAGGAUGUUCAUGGCCACUCCUUUUCCUCCUGGGCAGGCAGAAGGGGGGACAAUGUGUUUCUGAUAUUAGAGACAUCUAACCGGAUUCCUGUAGCUCAGCCCCUUUGGACCCUGCACUGGAUCCAUAUCAAGAGGAAGGCAAGAAAUUGAGCAAUUAACUCAAUUGUCUUCUUCUUUAAAUCAGAAGCUUGGGGGUAUGUUCCCAGGGGUCUCAGUUUUGUUGGUAAAUGUGGAUCUUCCCUGUUCAGUGUUCUCCUUCGUAUCAACAGGUAUGGAAGUGAUAAAUAUCCUAAGGCCAUGGAAGCAUAAGAGCUGAGUCCACAGGUAGUAUCCUGGACCUGCAGAGAUCAGAGCAAGGUGGGGAAACAUCACUUGGCCUUAAUGUGUGCUUUGAUAUGAGAACUAUGAAAAAGAAAGAGAGAAAAUGUGUUUAUAUUGGUUGUAUAACUAUGAGUUUUUACUGACUGAUUUACAUGCUGAACUACAUGGUGCCACCAAGCCUCAAGUGGCUAUAACAUGAAAAUGUAAAAAAUGACCUGAAAUUAAAAUUUGUGUUUAUCAGUUUCACGAGCUAUAUUUCAAGUCUCCAGUAGUCACAGGAAACUGGUGCUGCUGUAUUGGACAUUAUAGCUAUAGUUUUUCCAUGGUUGUGGAAAGUACUAUUGUACAGUGCUAAUAAGAGACCAUGGAGGUUGGAAAUCUGCAGUACAUGUGUGCUUGGGUUGCUGUGCUCAUGUUGCUUCUUUUUAUGUGUUUUGUGUGUUGGGUUUGACCAUAUGUGUUUCGUAGUGUGUGUAGUGGAUUUUCUGCGUCUUUGAGUAUGUAUGGUUUGUGAGUUGUGUGGGUGACUGGAUGUGGUCUUUGCAUAUUUUUUAAAGCAGCUUGUGAGGUGUAAUUGAUAGACAAAAUCUGCAUAUAAGUAAUGUAUAUAAUUUGCAGAGUUUGGACAUGUGCACACACUUAUGAGGCUACCAGCACAAUCAAGGUCAACAUAUAUGUCUCCUCUCAAAAAAUCCUUAUGUCCCUUAUAUGUGGUAAGAAAACUCAAUAUGAGAUCUACUCUUUUAAGGAACUUUUAGGUGCACUAUAUAGUCUUUGACUCUAGGCCUUAGGCUGUAUAACAUGUCUCUAGAACUAAUUAAUUCAUCUUGCAUAACUGACACGAUUUCAAUAUUAUAACAACACUGCAUUUCCCCUACCCCAGCCCUUAGUGACUGCCAUUUAUUUUCUGCUUCUAUGAGUUUGUCAAAGUGAAAUUAUGCAAUAUUUGUCCUUGUAGAACUGGCUUAUUUAACUUAGGAUAAUGUCUCCUCAUUCUUACAUCUUGCCUUCCUGUUUUUUAAGGCAAAACGAUAUUCUGUUGUGUGUAUAUGCCACAUUUAUACAUUCAUCUGUCUUUGGACAUUUGGCUUAUUUCUAUAGCUUAUCUAUUGUGCACAGAGCUUCAGUUCACAUGGGGGAAUCAAUACACCUCUGAGAUACUGAUUCCAGUUCUUUCUGGUCUAUACCCAGAUGUGGGAUUACUGGAUCAUAUGGUAGUUCUAUUUUGAAUGUCUUGGGCAAUGUCCAUACUGUUUUCCAUAAUGGCCACACCACGUUACAUCUCCACACACAGUAUAGAAGGGUUCUUCAUUUCUUUUUUUUUUUUAAAUUGUGAUUGACAUAAGAUUCCCUUUUAUGUUUUUUUAAAUUCUUUUUUGUCUUUUGUCCUUUUAGGGCCACACCCACAGCAUAUGGAUAUUCCCAGGGUAGGGGUCUAAUUGGAGCUGUAGCUGCUAGCCUACACCAGAGCCAUGGCAACACCAGAUACAAGCCUUGUCUGCAACCUACAACACAGCUAUGGCAAUACCAGAUCCUUAACCCACUGAGUGAGGCCAGAGAUCAAACUUGCAUCCUCAUGGUUCCUAGGCAGAUUCCUUUAUGUGCACCAGAAUGGGAACUCCAAAUGAUUCCAUUUCAAUUUUGGCCAAAAACAGCACCUGGUGUCUUAUUCUUGUGUCGCUAUGUGUCAUUCUGAGUGUCUGAUUCUGUUUAUAACACAUAUAAUCCUGUCCUUGGAUGGUUGUAGAGCAGAGAGGGCCAGGUGAGGGCCUGGGAAAUAUGUAUAUUCAUUUGACCUGGUCAGACAGCCUCACAGCCUGAGUCUUCUUGUCUCAUCUCUAGACAUAAACAGGCAACAAACCAAGUCCUCUUUAUGCUAAGUUAGGAGCACUUUGUCCAGAUGGUUUGAAGGCUACUGAACCUCUUGCAAAGUUCCUCAUUGGUGUUUAAUGAUUUCCACACUUCCAUUCUAGGGAACAGGAUGGGAUAUGUUUUGGAACCUUGUCUAGUUAAUGAGAUGACUGUGAAUUCUGAUAUAGGUCCUUGGUCCUACAGCCUCUGCAAUAUCUUGGCUCUCUGGUCCCUAUAUCAGGCAGAUUCCCAUGUCCCUCACUGUUCAUGCAUGAUCCUAACUGAACCAUUUUAAAGCCCUGGUGAUGGAAGGGGAGAGAGAAAGAAAGGCAGAUAUGAAGGAAAUUAUUUUUUGAAGGAAAUUAUUUUUGGAAAAAAUGUUAAAAAUACAAUGAGUCAAGUGAUGUAAACCCACUAAUCUUCAAGUGGUGUCCAUGAUUGGGGUCUGUACUGUUUUCUGGAUGUGAGAUCAAGACCUCAGAAGUAGGGAGACGGGAUUAAGAUGGCAGAAUAGAAGGACUGGAGCAAACUUCUCUUCUAAAAACAACAAAAUUCAGAACUAAAGAUGGCACUCUUCACCCAAAUGGACCAAAAACAUUAAAAAAGAUACCCUACUCCAGAAGAAAAAGAGGAGGUCACAUCAAGAGGUAGGAGGGGCAAUUUCACAAUAUAAACAACCCCAUACCUCCUGGGUGGGAAGCUCCACACACUGAAAACUAACUGGUUCACAGAGACUCACCUACAGGAGUGCGAGUUCUGAGCCACACAUCAAACUCUCACGUGUGGGGAUCUGACACAGGGAGAAUGUGCCCCGGAGCAUCUGGCAUUGAAGGCCAGUGGGGCUUGUGUGCAAGAGCUCCAUGGGACUGGGGGAAAUGGAGACCCCAUUCUUAUAAAGCACACACAGAUUUUAACGUGCACUGAGUCCCAGAGCAAAGCAAAGUCUUCAAGGGAAUCUGGGUCAAACCUGACCGCAGAUCUUAGAGGACAUCCUGGGAAAACAGGUGAACGUGGCUUGUUGUGAGGGAAGGACAUUGAAGGCACAAAUCUUGGGAAUAUUCAGCAGCAGUGACUUUCUCUGGAGGUGGCCAUUUUGGGAAAAUCUUGCCCCACCCAUCAGCCAGCUGCUGAGAAAACCCAGGGCAAACAACAACCCAGGUGGGAUCACAAACCUACCCCUCAGUAAACAGGCUACCUAAAGACCCCUCAGGCACACAGCUGCCUCUAAGCCCAUCCAGAGACUAAGCCCCAUCCACCAGAGGGAUUGGAAUCCACUCCUCCUACCAGGGGGCAGGCAUCAGCCCCUCCCAUCAGGAAGUGUACACUGAGCCCCCAUACUGACUUCAGCCACAAGAGGGGCAGACAUCAGAAGGAAGAGAGGGUACAACUCUAUUAUCUGUAAGAAGGUCAUCACACAAAAACCUAUCAAAAUGAAAAGACAGAGAACUAUAACUCAGAUGAGGGAGAAAGGAAAAACCACACAAAAACAGCUAAGCAAGGAGGAGAUUCUUAGCUUCCAGGGAAGAGAUUUUAGAUUGUUGAUGCUGAGGAUGAUGCAAGACAUUGGAAAUAAACUGGAGGCAAAUAUGGAUAACUUACAGGAAACACUGACCAAAGAGAUACAAGAUAUAAAACUUAAAAAAGAAGAGAUGCAAAAUACAAUAACUGAAAUAAAAAAUUCACUAUAAGCAGCUAACAGCAGAAUACAG